AACGAACGCUGGCGGCAGGCUUAACACAUGCAAGUCGAACGCCCCGCAAGGGGAGUGGCAGACGGGUGAGUAACGCGUGGGAAUCUACCCAGAUCUACGGAACAACAGUUGGAAACGACUGCUAAUACCGUAUACGCCCUACGGGGGAAAGAUUUAUCGGAUUUGGAUGAGCCCGCGUUGGAUUAGCCAGUUGGUGGGGUAAUGGCCUACCAAGGCGACGAUCCAUAGCUGGACUGAGAGGAUGAUCAGCCACACUGGGACUGAGACACGGCCCAGACUCCUACGGGAGGCAGCAGUGGGGAAUAUUGGACAAUGGGCGCAAGCCUGAUCCAGCCAUGCCGCGUGAGUGAUGAAGGCCUUAGGGUUGUAAAGCUCUUUCACCGAUGAAGAUAAUGACGGUAGUCGGAGAAGAAGCCCCGGCUAACUUCGUGCCAGCCGCCGCGGUAAUAC
rnacentral:rRNA from 1 species